rnacentral:rRNA from 1 species
UACGAAGGGGGCUAGCGUUGUUCGGAAUUACUGGGCGUAAAGGGCGCGUAGGCGGCGUGUCAAGUCAGGCGUGAAAGCCCUGGGCUCAACCUGGGAAUGGCAUUGGAAACUGGCGACCUAGAGUGCGGUAGAGGGUAGUGGAAUUCCCGGUGUAGCAGUGAAAUGCGUAGAGAUCGGGAGGAACAUCCGUGGCGAAGGCGACUACCUGGACCAGCACUGACACUGAGGCACGAAAGCGUGGGGAGCAAACAGG